UCAACAGCCUUAACUAUGGUCCUAGCUCCUUCUGAAUGGUUCUAGCUCUUUCUGAAUGGUUCUGGCUUCUACAAAUAUCAGUUCUUCUUCCUGUUAUUUCAGUCCUAAAGAAGAAACAACUUCUCAGUGCUGCUAGUAUCCAGGAAUCUCUGCAUUUGAACCGGGAGCCAACUCUAAUGCCCAGGUAAUGGACAUGCGGAUGGGACAGACUACUACUGUUGGUUUCUUCUGUUACUUCUAGUCAUGCUUUGGAGCAGAAGGUGCUGGCCACACCCAAAAUCCGGGCAGACGGCAUUCUGGGGAAAGAACGAGGGCCAGGGAAAUGCAAAAGCGAUUACUCAAAGUAAGGUGAAAUAUGGCUGCCUGGGCCAGGACAGAAGCCAGGGAGAUAAGCGCCGAGGAGGAGCCUCCCGUCCAACAAGCCGUGACUAAUGAUGAUUGGGGUGUGUUUGGCGGGGCAGAAUUUAUUUGGUUGCUAGUUUCCCAGGGAUUAACUCUUGGUGGAUCUUGAGCCAGUGGCCCAGGGUGUCCUGGCUUCCCAGGCACCAUGGGCUCAAGUUUCUGUUCCCCCAGGCUCAAGAGAGGGGCAGGUGUGGAGCAGUGGGGACAAAGCUAGAGAUGGGGACGGGGGAGAGGUGAGCUUGUAGGCCACGACCUUGAGCCUACAGCCACAAUGAAAUUAGCUUCUGUUUCUCAUGUGUUCCUGUGUCACAACCACAGACACGAACGACUUCCGUGCAUCGUCUCUUUCACACAUAACAGCUCUGUACAGUUCUGACCAUCAGCUAAGCCCGCUAGCAGACAGGGACACUGAGAUGCAUGUAUUAGUGUUCAUGUUGGCUAAUGGCCGAGGAAGCAGCCCUUGGAGCAGGCAGUGCCAGGGCUGGGAUUCGACUGGAGAAUCAGUGUUCCUGACACCAAGGGUCUUGAAUCCGAGGGCAGCCCGGGCAACUCAGCAAGAUCUGGUCUCUGUAUGCAAAAACAAAAAACGGUUGGAUUGUCAACCAGUACCCUCUGGUUUUAAUCUCCAGUACAGAGAAAUUGUUUUAGAAUCCUCAUGACCCAUGGGUGCCCGGCCACUGUGCAGCCAGGAGGAUGGAAGUAAAACAGUGCCCUUCUUACAUCCCGGGAGGGAAGAGGGGGAGUGAGAACCCCUGUGCACAUGCACAAGCCCUGUGGGGACCUGAGAGAUGCCUGGGCACAUCACGACAUCGUUGCCUUCCCAACUGUCCAGUCUGUUGUCCUGUAGAGAUCUCUCCCCCAGCAGAAACACACCUGCACACGUGAAGACAUGCCUGUCUGAGUAGCUGUUCAUUUCAAUCUCAUGUAUAGGGGCUGGCAGAAUAGUUCAAUUGACUAAAGCACCUGCUUAGGUAAGCUCAGGGACCAGGGUUCAAUCUCCAGCAUCAC